rnacentral:ribozyme from 1 species
GACUCAAUACUGAGAUGGGUGAAGCUGCUGCCUUGGUUCAUGCUGCUUCAGAUAGAGAUACUCAGGGCAUUUUUGAACAAAAGAUUAUGAAUGUUUGUGAAGUUGUGAUCUUCCUCACUCUCCUCGUGACUGCCAUUAUUGUCUUUGUUCAA